GCGGCCAGGGGCGCCGAGACCCCGCGAGUGGCGGGCGCUGGCCGGAGGGCGGGGCCGGCCCGGCGCCCUCAGUGCCCCCACCCCAGCCUGGGAGGAGUCGCGGCCCGCCCCGCCCCCCACCCACCGCCGGCGCAAUGACACAGCACAAAGCGCGGCCCCCACGUGGCUCCCGCGAAGCCCGCGCCACGCCCUCGGGAGCUGGGCCCGCACCAGCUUCUGGGCACAGCCCCCUCCUCCCUCCCACCUCUAACGGUUCCGCAGAGCCACCCCCCGACCCCGAUGCCGCGGCACAGGGAGGGCGCCCGGGAGCGCGCAGGACGCCGCUGGGUCCCUGCGAGACAACCGGAGCUGAUGCGCGCCUCCGCCUCGGCGCUCGGGGAAAAUUGACCUUCACCCAGAAAAAUGAGAGAGAAAUAUUAGGAAGAAGAAUCUAAUGGAUGAAUUUUAUGAUCUGUAAACAAUGCCUCAACAAGUUGUUUAAAAAAAGAAGAAGAAGAAGAAGAAGGAAGAAGAAGAAGAAGAAGACGACGACGACGACGACUUGAAAGUGAAUAGUUCACCUGGCUAUGCUGAAUGAAUUCUUGCCUUUAAACAGAGACGAAUUGCAUCCCAGUUAACUUUAUUUAUUCAACAAAUACUGAUUAAGUAUCUACUGUGUGAUGGGCACUGAACUUAGAAUUGGGGAUAUAAAGGUAAACACAGUAGUAAAUAAACACGAAACUUCCCUCAUGGAGAUUUUAAUCAGUAAUAAGAGUGAUGUGAAAGCAAGUAGAGCUCAGGAGCACCUUAUCUUGUGUGAAGAAUCAGGAAGGCUUCCUGUAGGAAGUGACAUUUAAGAUAAGGGCUGAUGGACAGGGAGAAGUUACCAUGUGACAGUUAUUACCAAAAUAAAUAGUAAAAAUGGUCAUGAAAACACUAGAGAAAUCUCUGUGAAAGGCAUCUAUUCACUCACGUAAUAAAUAUAUAUAUAUCAAGGGCCUACUGUGUGCCAGGAAGCAUCAGAGCAAUGAAUAAACUCCCUGCUUACAAGGAGAUGCCAGAUACUGGACCAAAACAAACCUUACCUGAUCUUUAGAAAGGCGGGGAGGGGUGUAUUGUUGAAACUGCAGGCCAGGAGAUUUGAUGUCAGUCUUUAGCAAAAUUCUAGGAGCCUUAGGAAAAUAGAAUGGCUGCAUUUAGAACAAGUUAUGCCAGCCAGCACUUCUCUCCUUUUCUUUUGGAGUCACUGGGUAGAAGAACAGGCAAAACAUUCCCCAUUGUAUUCUUCAUGCUGCCUGGGUUGGCAUCAAUUGAUAUCAUAGUUGGGGUGGUUUUAUAACUUACUUAGUUAUUCUACCUUAAAAAAAAAGUGCUGUUGAAUGGAGUCAUUUCAACCUACAGCCACCUGGCAAAUGUUUUAACCCUUGUUUGUGUGGUUUUAUUGGAGCAGAGAUAGAGUGCAUGCAUGCAAGCAAGAAUAAGUAAUCUGAAAGGCAGAAUUAUGAGAUUUAGAAAAAUGAAUUAAAAAUAAAGAUGAAAUUUAAUAGAGAUUUUGGUGAUGAUUGUACACUCCUAUGAAUAUACAAAAAACUUUAAUUUUUUUUUUUAAGAUUUUUAAAAUUUAUUUGACAGAGACAGUGAGAGAGGCAACACAAGC